GUGCAGCAGGCGAGAAACUUCGGCAAUGGGCGCAAGCCUGACCGAGCGGCGCCGCGUGGAGGAUGAAGGCCUUCGGGUUGUAAACUCCUGUCGAGGGGGAAGAAGGGGCCUCAAAACCUUGACUGAUCCCUGGAGGAAGCACGGGCUAAGUUCGUGCCAGCAGCCGCGGUAAGACGAACCGUGCGAACGUUAUUCGGAAUCACUGGGCUUAAAGCGCGUGUAGGCGGGGCGGCACGUCGGUCGCUGAAAUCCCCCGGCUUAACCGGGGAACGGGCGCCGAUACGACCGUCCUGGAGGAACGUAGGGGGAGCUGGAACUUCCGGUGGAGCGGUGAAAUGCGUUGAGAUCGGAAGGAACGCCCGUGGCGAAAGCGAGCUCCUGGACGUUUUCUGACGCUGAGACGCGAAAGCCAGGGGAGCGAACGGGAUUAGAUACCGGUGUAGU
rnacentral:rRNA from 1 species